rnacentral:rRNA from 1 species
GAUGAACGCUGGCGGCGUGCCUAAUACAUGCAAGUCGAGCGAACAGAGGAGGAGUUUUCUCCUCUGACGUUAGCGGCGGACGGGUGAUUACCACGUGGAUAACCUACCUAUAAGACUGGGAUAACUUCGGGAAACCGGAGCUAAUACCGGAUAAUAUAUUGAACCGCAUGGUUCAAUAGUGAAAGACGGUUUUGCUGUCACUUAUAGAUGGAUCCGCGCCGCAUUAGCUAGUUGGUAAGGUAACGGCUUACCAAGGCAACGAUGCGUAGCCGACCUGAGAGGGUGAUCGGCCACACUGGAACUGAGACACGGUCCAGACUCCUACGGGAGGCAGCAGUAGGGAAUCUUCCGCAAUGGGCGAAAGCCUGACGGAGCAACGCCGCGUGAGUGAUGAAGGUCUUCGGAUCGUAAAACUCUGUUAUUAGGGAAGAACAAAUGUGUAAGUAACUAUGCACGUCUUGACGGUACCUAAUCAGAAAGCCACGGCUAACUACGUG